CUGUCAAGCCAAAGUCCAAGUAACCGACUCUAACUGGUCUAACAACCAACAAGAAACGUGCCCUCGGCACCAUCUGACGCCAAAACGGCGAUACGGGUCCACCGUCAACUCUGACGGCACCCACCAGUCGGGAACAACCUGAACGAUUCUGUAAAAAUCCACUCGGCGAAUCAGCACGAGUGUAAAUGUAAUCUAAACUACCUGGAGUACUCGUCUCGAAGAUACUGCGACAGUACAAUUUAAUAACGGCUCCUAGGGCUAAAUCAGGCAGUUUAAACAAGUGACAGGUCCAAAUCGCAGGUUUUCUUCUAAGUCAAAUUCCAAGUCCAACAUGUAUAACCUACUUAAUUUAUUACCACAUGCUCCAAAUUCAGAUUUGCAAUCUACAAUAUAAUCCAUGAAUUCGAGCUAGAAUAGAGUAUCCAAAGGUCGAAAAUUAUACAUGCCGACGAAUAUGAACUUAGGAGUAAAAACCGAUGUAACCCACCUCGACAGCGACCCAAGCACCGGCGCGACGUCGAGAACGACGAAAAUGCACCCUCGCCCGGCCUCCAACGGCACUACCACGACGCACGCACGCUCCAACGGCUCGCAGGCGCGAAGUUGACGUCGCUCCAAUCUCCAACUAUAGCCUCCACGAGCUCUCCACUUCCAACUAGAGAGAGAGGGAAAUUACAAAUCACCACUAUCCCUCUGUAGGCCACAAGAUAAGGAUGCAUGGGGGGUGCACGUGGCAUCCAAAGCC
rnacentral:lncRNA from 1 species